UACUUAGUGGCGGACGGGUGAGUAACGCGUGGAGUAUACACUUUAUAAUAGUACAAAGCAGACCGUGUUAUUUAUUACUGUAAUAAAGAUACAAACAACAUUCUUAUGGGAGCACAGAGGAGGAAUAAAUACAAUUUGAAUGGAAUAGUUGGUUGCAUUAAGCGUUUUGAUCCCGUGUCUCUAACCACUUUACUAGUUCUGUAACUGUGAACAUGUCCUUGGCUGCACAAAACCUCGGUUUCUCAUUUGUAAAUUGAAGAUAAUAAGAGAAUGUUUCUUGAAGAUAAU
rnacentral:rRNA from 1 species